rnacentral:rRNA from 1 species
UACGGAGGAGGCAAGCGUUAUCCGGAAUUAUUGGGCGUAAAGCGUCCGUAGGUGGCUAGUCAAGUCUGCGGUCAAAGACUGGGGCUUAACCCUGGAAAGGCCGUGGAAACUGACGAGCUAGAGUGCAGUAGGGGUAGAGGGAAUUCCUGGUGUAGCGGUGAAAUGCGCAGAUAUCAGGAGGAACACCGGUGGCGAAGGCGGAUCUCUGGGCCGUAACUGACGCUGAGGAGCGAAAGCAUGGGUAGCGAACAGG